rnacentral:rRNA from 1 species
CACGUAGGGUGCGAGCGUUGUCCGGAAUUAUUGGGCGUAAAGAGCUCGUAGGCGGUGUGUCGCGUCGGCCGUGAAAACCUGCAGCUUAACUGUGGGCUUGCGGUCGAUACGGGCAUCACUGGAGUUCGGCAGGGGAGACUGGAAUUCCUGGUGUAGCGGUGAAAUGCGCAGAUAUCAGGAGGAACACCGGUGGCGAAGGCGGGUCUCUGGACCGAUACUGACGCUGAGGAGCGAAAGCGUGGGGAGCGAACAGG